UCCCGCUUGCCUCUCGGGUAGCAGCGGGACCUAGUCGGGUGCAGACGGGAAGUUGCUGCUGCCAGCGAAGAGGACCCGCCGGGUGGAGGCCACACGCCACCCCGAGGCUGCGUAGGCCGCGCAUAGGGGGACGCCGCGCCGUGGGCCUGGGGUCGGGAGAACCGCAGACCAGGAAGCACCGUGCGGACCGAGGAUUUGGGGUGGAAGGCAGGCAUGGUCAAACCCAUUUCACUGACAGGAGAGCAGAGACAGGACGUGUCUCUCUCCACGUCUUCCAGCCAAUAAAAGCAGCCAAGCUGGAGUCCAAAGCUAGGUGUUCUGACUCCCAGCGUGGGGGUCCCUGCACCAACCAUGAGCCGCCUGCUCUGGAGGAAGUUGGCCGGCGCCACCGUCGUGCCAGGGCCGGUUCCAGCUCCGGGGCGCUGGGUCUCCAGCUCCGUCCCCGCGUCCGACCCCAGCGACGGGCGGCGGCGGCAGCAGCAGCAGCUGCAGCAGCCGCAAGUGCCAUCCUCGGAGGGCGGGCAGCUGCGGCACAACCCGUUGCACAUCCAGAUGCUCUCGAAAGGGCUGCACGAGCAAAUCUUCGGGCAAGGAGGGGAGAUACCCGGCGAGGCCGCGGUGCGCCGCAGCGUCGAACACCUGCAGAAGCACGGGCUCUGGGGGCAGCCAGCAGCGCCCUUGCCCGACGUGGAGCUGCGCCUGCCGCCCCUCUACGGGGACAACCUGGACCAGCACUUCCGCCUCCUGGCCCAGAAGCAGAGCCUGCCCUACCUGGAGGCGGCCAACUCGCUGUUGCAGGCCCAGCUGCCCCCGCAGCCCACGGGUUGGGCCUGGGCGGAGGGCUGGACCCGGUACGGCCCCGAGGGGGAGGCCGUACCCGUGGCCAUCCCCGAGGAGCGGGCCCUGGUGUUCGACGUGGAGGUCUGCUUGGCAGAGGGAACUUGCCCCACAUUGGCGGUGGCCAUAUCCCCCUCGGCCUGGUAUUCCUGGUGCAGCCGGCGGCUGGUGGAAGAGCGUUACUCUUGGACCAGCCAGCUGUCGCCGGCUGACCUCAUCCCCCUGGAGGUCCCUGCUGGUGCCAGCCCCACCCAGAGAGAUUGGAAGGAGCAGUUAGUGGUGGGGCACAAUGUUUCCUUUGACCGAGCUCAUAUCAGGGAGCAGUACCUGAUCCAGGGUUCCCGCAUGCGUUUCCUGGACACCAUGAGCAUGCACAUGGCCAUCUCAGGGCUAAGUAGCUUCCAGCGCAGUCUGUGGAUAGCAGCCAAGCAGGGCAAGCACAAGGUCCAGGGACCCACAAAGCAAGUCCAGAAGUCCCAGAGGAAAGCCAGAAGAGGCCCAGCGAUCUCAUCCUGGGACUGGCUGGACAUCAGCAGUGUCAACAGUCUGGCAGAGGUGCACAGACUUUAUGUAGGGGGGCCUCCCUUAGAGAAGGAGCCUCGAGAACUGUUCGUGAAGGGUACCAUGAAGGACAUUCGUGAGAACUUCCAGGACCUGAUGCAGUACUGUGCCCAGGACGUGUGGGCCACCCAUGAGGUUUUCCAGCAGCAGCUACCGCUCUUCUUGGAGAGGUGUCCCCACCCAGUGACUCUGGCUGGCAUGCUGGAGAUGGGUGUCUCCUACCUGCCUGUCAACCAGAACUGGGAGCGUUACCUGGCAGAGGCACAGGGCACUUACGAGGAGCUCCAGCGGGAGAUGAAGAAGUCGUUGAUGGACCUGGCCAACGACACCUGCCAGCUGCUCUCAGGAGAGAGGUACAAAGAAGACCCCUGGCUCUGGGACCUGGAGUGGGACCUGCAAGAAUUUAAGCAGAAGAAAGCUAAGAAGGUGAAGAAGGAGCCAGCCACAGCCAGCAAGUUGCCCAUCGAGGGGGCUGGGGCCCCUGGUGAUCCCAUGGAUCAGGAAGACCUCGGCCCCCGCAGUGAGGAGGAGGAGUUUCAACAAGAUGUCAUGGCCCGUGCCUGCUUGCAGAAGCUGAAGGGGACCACAGAGCUCCUGCCCAAGCGGCCCCAGCACCUUCCUGGACACCCUGGAUGGUACCGGAAGCUCUGUCCCCGGCUAGACGACCCCGCAUGGACCCCAGGCCCCAGCCUUCUCAGCCUGCAGAUGCGGGUCACACCUAAACUCAUGGCACUGACCUGGGAUGGCUUCCCUCUGCACUACUCAGAGCGUCAUGGCUGGGGCUACCUGGUGCCUGGGCGGCGGGACAACCUGGCCAAGCUCCCGACAGGUACCACCCUGGAAUCAGCUGGGGUGGUCUGCCCCUACAGAGCCAUCGAGUCCCUGUACAGGAAGCACUGUCUCGAACAGGGGAAGCAGCAGCUAACGCCUCAGGAGGCCGGCCUGGCUGAGGAGUUCCUGCUCACUGACAAUAGUGCCAUAUGGCAAACGGUAGAAGAACUGGAUUACUUAGAAGUGGAGGCUGAGGCCAAGAUGGAGAACUUGCGAGCUGCAGUGCCAGGUCAACCGCUAGCUCUGACUGCCCCUGGCGGCCCCAAGGACAGCCAGCCCAACUAUCACCAUGGCAACGGACCUUACAACGAUGUGGACAUCCCUGGCUGCUGGUUUUUCAAGCUGCCUCACAAGGAUGGUAAUAGCUGUAAUGUGGGAAGCCCCUUUGCCAAGGACUUCCUGCCCAAGAUGGAGGAUGGCACCCUGCAGGCUGGCCCAGGAGGUGCCAGUGGGCCCCGUGCUCUGGAAAUCAACAAAAUGAUUUCUUUCUGGAGGAACGCCCAUAAACGUAUCAGCUCCCAGAUGGUGGUGUGGCUGCCCAGGUCAGCUCUGCCCCGUGCUGUGAUCAGGCACCCCGACUAUGAUGAGGAAGGCCUCUAUGGGGCCAUCCUGCCCCAAGUGGUGACUGCCGGCACCAUCACUCGCCGGGCUGUGGAGCCCACGUGGCUCACUGCCAGCAAUGCCCGGCCUGACCGAGUAGGCAGUGAGUUGAAAGCCAUGGUGCAGGCCCCACCUGGCUACACCUUUGUGGGUGCUGAUGUGGACUCUCAAGAGCUGUGGAUUGCAGCUGUGCUUGGAGACGCCCACUUUGCCGGCAUGCAUGGCUGCACAGCCUUUGGAUGGAUGACACUGCAGGGCAGGAAGAGCAGGGGCACUGAUCUACACAGUAAGACAGCCACUACCGUGGGCAUCAGCCGUGAGCAUGCCAAAGUCUUCAACUACGGCCGCAUCUAUGGGGCUGGGCAGCCCUUUGCUGAGCGCUUACUAAUGCAGUUUAACCACCGGCUCACGCAGCAGGAGGCAGCUGAGAAGGCCCAGCAGAUGUACGCCGUCACCAAGGGCCUCCGCUGGUAUCGGCUGUCGGAUGAGGGCGAGUGGCUGGUGAGGGAGUUGCACCUCCCAGUGGACAGGACUGAGGGUGGCUGGAUUUCCCUGCAGGAUCUGCGCAAGGUCCAGAGAGAAACUGCAAGGAAGUCACACUGGAAGAAGUGGGAGGUGAUUGCUGAACGGGCAUGGAAGGGGGGCACAGAGUCAGAAAUGUUCAAUAAGCUUGAGAGCAUUGCUACGUCUGACAUACCACGUACCCCGGUGCUGGGCUGCCGCAUCAGCCGAGCCCUGGAGCCCUCGGCUGUGCAGGGAGAGUUUAUGACCAGCCGUGUGAAUUGGGUGGUACAGAGCUCUGCUGUUGACUACUUACACCUCAUGCUUGUGGCCAUGAAGUGGCUGUUUGAAGAGUUUGCCAUAGAUGGGCGCUUCUGCAUCAGCAUCCAUGACGAAGUUCGCUACCUGGUGCGGGAGGAGGACCGCUACCGUGCUGCCCUGGCCCUGCAGAUCACCAACCUCUUGACCAGUAAAAUUCCUAGUUCUUAUGGAUGAAUUAAAUGAUAUUACCGUUCCAUGUUGAUCUGCCACUCAGAACCAGUUUGGGAACCAUGAUCUAUCCUGAUUAUUGGGUAAAUAAGAGAUGUUUACAAUAUUCAACAUUGUUUCCGUUGCCCUCUUAAUCAUCUCCGGGGGGUUAUGCUUAACAAAGCUAAAAGUCCUCAUUUAUGCUUCAAACUCUGGCCCAAUUGGAAGUGAUUUCGUAUAUUAAUAAAAUGUACCAAACUGGAAGAAAAAAACAGUGUGUUGAGUCCAUAAUUGCAUUUCAGUAUCUCAGUGGGAGGUUAGGCUGCUGGAUGGAAGACAGUGCUGGACCUUCACCUUUCUUGACUUAGCUAGGUGAACAGAUGGGGUGUUGGACCAGGGGAAGCCCUGCUCUGAGGGGUGUGGGGUCAUUGUUCCAGGAGUGAUGUGUCUGUGUUCACAGGAGGGGCAUGACUGUGAGGGGAGAUUGGGUCUCUUUCAGGUGCAUGUUUGCCUACAAGCUGGGUCUGAAUGACUUGCCCCAGUCAGUCGCCUUUUUCAGUGCAGUUGAUAUUGACCGGUGCCUCAGGAAGGAAGUGACCAUGGAUUGUAAAACCCCUUCCAACCCAACUGGGAUGGAAAGGAGAUACGGGAUUCCCCAGGGUGAAGCGCUGGAUAUUUACCAGAUAAUUGAACUCACCAAAGGCUCCUUGGAAAAACGAAGCCAGCCUGGACCAUAGCACUGCCUGGAGGCUCUGUAUUUGCUCCCAUGGAGCUUCGUCGGGGCGGUGCAGGCUCCCAAACUCAGGCUUUCAGCUGUGCUUUUUGCAAAAGGGCUUGCCUAAGGCCAGCCAUUUUUCAGUAGCAGGACCUGCCAAGAAGAUUCCUUCUGACUGAAGGUGCAGUUGAAUUCAGUGGGUUCAGAACUAAGAUGCCAACAUCGGUGUGGGCUGUAGGACAAGGGGCAUUGUUGCUUGUUGGGUAAAAACGAAGCAGAAGCCCCAAAGUUCACAUUAACUCAGGCAUUUCAUUUAUUUUUUCCUUUUCUUCUUGGCUGGUUCUUUGUUCUGUUCACCAUGCUCUGAUGCAGUGCCCUAGAAGGGAAAAGAAGUAAUGCUCUAACGUGAUAAACCUGCUCCAAAGCAGUGGAAAUAAAAAGAAGAAGAAAAAAAAAACUA